GAUGAACGCUGGCGGCGUGCCUAAUACAUGCAAGUCGAGCGAACGGACGAGAAGCUUGCUUCUCUGAUGUUAGCGGCGGACGGGUGAGUAACACGUGGAUAACCUACCUAUAAGACUGGGAUAACUUCGGGAAACCGGAGCUAAUACCGGAUAAUAUUUUGAACCGCAUGGUUCAAAAGUGAAAGACGGUCUUGCUGUCACUUAUAGAUGGAUCCGCGCUGCAUUAGCUAGUUGGUAAGGUAACGGCUUACCAAGGCAACGAUGCAUAGCCGACCUGAGAGGGUGAUCGGCCACACUGGAACUGAGACACGGUCCAGACUCCUACGGGAGGCAGCAGUAGGGAAUCUUCCGCAAUGGGCGAAAGCCUGACGGAGCAACGCCGCGUGAGUGAUGAAGGUCUUCGGAUCGUAAAACUCUGUUAUUAGGGAAGAACAUAUGUGUAAGUAACUGUGCACAUCUUGACGGUACCUAAUCAGAAAGCCACGGCUAACUACGUGCCAGCAGCCGCGGUAAUACGUAGGUGGCAAGCGUUAUCCGGAAUUAUUGGGCGUAAAGCGCGCGUAGGCGGUUUUUUAGUCUGAUGUGAAAGCCCACGGCUCAACCGUGGAGGGUCAUUGGAAGCUGGAAAACUUGAGUGCAGAAGAGGAAAGUGGAAUUCCAUGUGUAGCGGUGAAAUGCGCAGAGAUAUGGAGGAACACCAGUGGCGAAGGCGACUUUCUGGUCUGUAACUGACGCUGAUGUGCGAAAGCGUGGGGAUCAAACAGGAUUAGAUACCCUGGUAGUCCACGCCGUAAACGAUGAGUGCUAAGUGUUAGGGGGUUUCCGCCCCUUAGUGCUGCAGCUAACGCAUUAAGCACUCCGCCUGGGGAGUACGACCGCAAGGUUGAAACUCAAAGGAAUUGACGGGGACCCGCACAAGCGGUGGAGCAUGUGGUUUAAUUCGAAGCAACGCGAAGAACCUUACCAAAUCUUGACAUCCUUUGACAACUCUAGAGAUAGAGCUUUCCCCUUCGGGGGACAAAGUGACAGGUGGUGCAUGGUUGUCGUCAGCUCGUGUCGUGAGAUGUUGGGUUAAGUCCCGCAACGAGCGCAACCCUUAAGCUUAGUUGCCAUCAUUAAGUUGGGCACUCUAAGUUGACUGCCGGUGACAAACCGGAGGAAGGUGGGGAUGACGUCAAAUCAUCAUGCCCCUUAUGAUUUGGGCUACACACGUGCUACAAUGGACAAUACAAAGGGCAGCGAAACCGUGAGGUCAAGCAAAUCCCAUAAAGUUGUUCUCAGUUCGGAUUGUAGUCUGCAACUCGACUACAUGAAGCUGGAAUCGCUAGUAAUCGUAGAUCAGCAUGCUACGGUGAAUACGUUCCCGGGUCU
rnacentral:rRNA from 1 species